UUAAAAGACACACUCCUAUGAAAUCUUCCGUCUCUCUCGUUAGAAACUCACCCCUCUUUUAAACUUUAACCUAGAAUAAAAAAUCGACCAAAAUCUACUGCCUACUUCGACCAAGGAAGACCGAUUCCGGUGAAGGAAGACUGAUUCUGGCGAAGGACAUCCACUUCGGCUAAUGAAAGACAAAAUCCAAUGUUGGCUGUCAGUGUUUCUCCCUGUUUGGUGUUUAUAUAGAAUUUCGAUGGUUCGCUGAAAAUUGCUUCGCUAAAAAAUUGUUUUGCUACUUUGCCGGUUUUCUUUCUCUGGGAAGGAUUCUCCUCGAGAAUGACUCCAUGCCCAAGCAGUAAUGAUGAAGGUUUUGACAUGUGUGACGAUAUUGAUGGAUUACUUCAUGAUACAUUUCGAAAUGUCGAGGAUGAUUUGAGACAUAAUGGAGUGAGGGAUGGACCAUUGGAAGAUGCAAAAAAUUCUUUAAAUGAGUAGAAAAGGGGAAAGAAGAAUUACAUCCAGGGUGUGAUAAUUUCUCCAAAUUAGGUUUUAUGAUUCGGUUGAACUUGUUUAAAUGCACUCAUGGGAUGAGUAAUGUGGCAUUUAUAGACUUGUUGGAAUUGUUAAAACAUGCAUUCCAUUUGUUCA